CAGAACCACUGCCCUCUGCUCCUUCCCACUGUUCUGGGAGCUCUCUCCUCUGCGAGGCUUUCCUGGAACCUGAUUGGCGAAGACCGUUUCUCCUGAGCUCUUUUCUCUGAGACAUCACCAUAGAUGGCUAUGAGUCAAGUGCCCCCAUCAACCAUUCCUGCUCUGCCUGGGGGCUUGGAGUCCCUUCUGAUGGACGAAUGGGUAUUGACUCAACUGGCUUUGUAUGCUGGGCACCACUUUGCAAACAGCUUACAGGAUGGACUGCAGUCCUCACAACGAUCUUCAAAGGUCCCAGGAGAGAUCAAAGGCCAGGGCUGGUGAGUUCAGGGAAGAGGAAUUGAGGAUGGCCGGU
rnacentral:lncRNA from 1 species